rnacentral:lncRNA from 1 species
CAGCAUCCCUCUCUCUGUGCUUCAGAAUAUACUGCGUCCUUGGGGCUGAGGCAUGGGAAAGCCACUGUUUUUAUUCCCUUAUGUUCUACAGAGCGAAUGGCCAGUGGAUAAAUAAUUCAGGUUUUUUCCAUGCUAUUCCUAAAGAGAUUUCAGCUGACAUCUGGUUGCAUGCACCUAGUAUCAAUGCAAUUUUCUCUUCUUUGUAGGAAUUGUAGCUCCUGUUCUUUCACCUCCUGCCCGAUUCACAUUCACCCUGCUGAGCUACCCCCCUUCCUGCCAGCUGUCUGCUUGGAACAACCUGUCCUCCGGCAUCUGCUGGUUCCCAGCACAUCCCUGAAGCGAUCGCAGUGCCAGCAUUUUGGUUCCUUGAACGCAGAGCUAUUCCUCCUGCAGAACCCCAAGCUGUUGACAGCUGCUCGGCUUAUUCUCUCCUUUCUUGCUCAUUAUCCAUGAGCUGUGCCUGGUACCAGCCUGCCGAUGGUCAAAAUCUCCCUGCACGUGUCAGCAAGGAGGAUGGCGUGGGCUGAAGGACGGGAGCUGGGCACCCUUCCUGAAGCACAGGUUCCAACCUGCAGCUGCUCUCCAUUGUGAGAGCCCUAAUGUUUCCAGCCUGACCACUGAACUUAGGAGGCACUGAGUGGGCAGACAGGACAUUCACAAGGUGAGGUGGCCUCAGGAGCUUCAUCUUUUCAGAGUCUUGUGAUCACAGUGGCAAUGGGGACAUACUGGCUGGGCAAGUCAUACCUCAUGGAUGCUCAAAGCAUGUGAGCAUAUUUCAGGAGUGCUCAGGAUGAGAAGCAAAGACUAAAGAAGAUUUGGGGCAACCAAGAUCCCAUAGAGAUGGUGAAGUAUGAGCUGCACUGAUCUACCCAAGCCAUCUGAGAUGCUCAGCCCCGAGAUCGACUGCAGAGUUGAAGGCCAGAGCCUGGCUUCCAUCAGGGGAUGUGGUAUCUCAGAAUUCCACGUUUCAUGCAGAUAUAUGGAUGGAUGCUUUGGGGUGCCCCCCCAUAGCCAGCACACCCAAAGAAGGGGCUGCCUACCCUGAUGUGACAACACUAGCCCCAAACCAUCCCUUGGUUGCAUGCGGGUGCAUGGGUUUAAUUCAGGCCCUUCAUGUUAUUCGAGCACAGAUGUUUUUUUUUCCUCCUUUUUUUCUGGUGGUUUAGUUUCUCUCUUAACAGGAAAAAAUGAUCAAAAAUAAGAAAACAAUCACUGUUUGAAAGUGAAUGAAGGGCGCUUUCUCCCCCUCCCCCACGCUUUUUUCCUACUUUGACAUCUCAGUGUUUUUUUUUUCUUUUAGCCGCGGUUUCUGGGAUAGGUGAUAACUGCCAGUAAUAGGAUUAGCAUUGAUUUCUUUAGCAAGAACAGAGAUGUGGCAGUUCCAGCCAUUUACUGAACUGCCAGCUUUGAAAUAUCAAAAAAAAGAAAGAAAAAGAAAUCUGCAGGAAAAAAA